UUACAGAUGGGCUGUGUUCAGGUACAGUGAUCGAUCGGUAAGCUGCUCUGACUGCUAGUGUUUAAAUUAGAUUGAGGUAGUCGGGUGGGCUAUUUACAGAUGGGCUGUGUACAGGUACAGUGAUCGGUAAGCUGCUCUGACUGCUAGUGUUUAAAUUAGAUUGAGGUAGUCGGGUGGGCUAUUUACAGAUGGGCUGUGUUCAGGUACAGUGAUCGAUCGGUAAGCUGCUCUGACUGCUAGUGUUUAAAUUAGAUUGAGGUAGUUGGGUGGGCUAUUUACAGAUGGGCUGUGUACAGGUACAGUGAUCGGUAAGCUGCUCUGACUCCUGGUGUUUAAAUUAGAUUGAGGUAGUCGGGUGGGCUAUUUACAGAUGGGCUGUGUACAGGUACAGUGAUCGGUAAGCUGCUCUGACUCCUGGUGUUUAAAUUAGAUUGAGGUAGUCGGGUGGGCUAUUUACAGAUGGGCUGUGUACAGGUACAGUGAUCGGUAAGCUGCUCUGACUCCUGGUGUUUAAAUUAGAUUGAGGUAGUCGGGUGGGCUAUUUACAGAUGGGCUGUGUACAGGUACAGUGAUCGGUAAGCUGCUCUGACUCCUGGUGUUUAAAUUAGAUUGAGGUAGUUGGGUGGGCUAUUUACAGAUGGGCUGUGUACAGGUACAGUGAUCGGUAAGCUGCUCUGACUCCUGGUGUUUAAAUUAGAUUGAGGUAGUCGGGUGGGCUAUUUACAGAUGGGCUGUGUACAGGUACAGUGAUCGGUAAGCUGCUCUGACUCCUGGUGUUUAAAUUAGAUUGAGGUAGUCGGGUGGGCUAUUUACAGAUGGGCUGUGUACAGGUACAGUGAUCGGUAAGCUGCUCUGACUCCUGGUGUUUAAAUUAGAUUGAGGUAGUCGGGUGGGCUAUUUACAGAUGGGCUGUGUACAGGUACAGUGAUCGGUAAGCUGCUCUGACUCCUGGUGUUUAAAUUAGAUUGAGGUAGUCGGGUGGGCUAUUUACAGAUGGGCUGUGUACAGGUACAGUGAUCGGUAAGCUGCUCUGACUGCUAGUGUUUAAAUUAGAUUGAGGUAGUCGGGUGGGCUAUUUACAGAUGGGCUGUGUACAGGUACAGUGAUCGGUAAGCUGCUCUGACUCCUGGUGUUUAAAUUAGAUU